AAAGAAGACUGAUUAUGAUUCCUCCUGAUUCUGAGGGAUACACCGGGACCCUAAUUCGCAGCAUUACAGGGGCAGGGAAAAACACCCCAUAUAUUGUGCCUUUGCAACAUUUUGGCCCUUCACGUUCGGGAGUGCCUGGAGUCUCAGGCGGAAGCAGAAGAUACUCAGAGGAGACCUUAGGAUGGCUGAGACCACUGCCAUGAGCCAGGACGAUGGACAGGAGCAGAUCAAAUGUGUUGAUGAUGUAUUGGACACCGUUUGUCAAAGAGUUGACACAGAGAAAUGGUUCAACAUCCAAAUCUUAAGAACAAACAUUCUGGAGAAAGCCCUUCUGCAGUGGCAGCGGCAAAAAAAAAAAGAAAAAGAAAAGGACCCGCUGCUACUCUGAAAGUGACCUUCUUUGGGAAGGCAGGC